UUCCGGUUGAUCCCGCCGGAGGUUACUGCUAUCGAGAUUCGACUAAGCCAUGCGAGUCGAAUGUUCUUCGUGAACAUGGCGGACUGCUCAGUAACACGUGGACAACCUACCCUUGGGACUGGGAUAAUCCUGGGAAACUGGGGAUAAUACCGGAUAGGCCACAGAUGCUGGAAUGCACUGUGGCUGAAAGCUCCGGCGCCCAAGGAUAGGUCUGCGGCCUAUCAGGGUUGUAGUGGGUGUAAUGUACCUACUAGCCUACGACGGGUACGGGUUGUGAGAGCAAGAGCCCGGAGAUGGAUUCUGAGACACGAAUCCAGGCCCUACGGGGUGCAGCAGGCGCGAAAACUUUACAAUGCGGGAAACCGUGAUAAGGGAAUCUCGAGUGCCAGCAUAUAAUAUUGGCUGUCCAGAUGCCUAAAAAGCAUCUGUUAGCAAGGGCCGGGCAAGACCGGUGCCAGCCGCCGCGGUAACACCGGCGGCCCGAGUGGUAACCGUUAUUAUUGGGUCUAAAGGGUCUGUAGCCGGCCAAGUAAGUCCCUUGGGAAAUCUGGCAGCUCAACUGUCAGGCUGCUAGGGGAUACUGUUUGGCUUGGGACCGGGAGAGGUGAGAGGUACCUUGGGGGUAGGGGCGAAAUCUUGUGAUCCUCGGGGGACCACCAGUGGCGAAGGCGUCUCACCAGAACGGGUCCGACGGUAAGGGACGAAAGCUAGGGGCACGAACCGGAUUAGAUACCCGGGUAGUCCUAGCCGUAAACGAUGCUCGCUAGGUGUCAGUCACGGUGCGACCGUGAUUGGUGCCGUAGGGAAGCCGUGAAGCGAGCCACCUGGGAAGUAUGGCCGCAAGGCUGAAACUUAAAGGAAUUGGCGGGGGAGCACUACAACGGGUGGAGCCUGCGGUUUAAUUGGAUUCAACGCCGGAAAUCUCACCGGGGGCGACAGCAAUAUGAAGGUCAGGCUGAAGACCUUACCCGAUUAGCUGAGAGGUGGUGCAUGGCC
rnacentral:rRNA from 1 species